rfam:Macrostomum lignano uti_cns_0000000, whole genome shotgun sequence.
CUCAGCGAAACAAAGGAUCCCUUAAGGGUGCAGCCGCACUUGAAAAAAUGCUUCGAGGGCAUCGCCAGGCUGAAUUUUAGCAGCGAGCAGGAAAUCACAGCGAUGGUGUCCGCAGAGAACGAGCGGGUUGACUUCGUGAGCCGGAUUGUCCCGGCUGACGCUCAGGGCCUGGUAGAAGUUUGGCUACUAGAAG